AUUGAACGCUGGCGGAAUGCUUUACACAUGCCAGUCGAACGGCGGCACGGGGGCAGCCCUGGUGGCGAGUGGCGAACGGGUGAGUAAUACAUCGGAACGUGCCCGGUCGUGGGGGAUAACGUAGCGAAAGUUACGCUAAUACCGCAUACGAUCUGAGGAUGAAAGCGGGGGACCUUCGGGCCUCGCGCGAUCGGAGCGGCCGAUGUCAGAUUAGGUAGUUGGUGGGGUAAAGGCCUACCAAGCCGACGAUCUGUAGCUGGUCUGAGAGGACGACCAGCCACACUGGGACUGAGACACGGCCCAGACUCCUACGGGAGGCAGCAGUGGGGAAUUUUGGACAAUGGGCGCAAGCCUGAUCCAGCCAUUCCGCGUGCAGGACGAAGGCCUUCGGGUUGUAAACUGCUUUUGUACGGAACGAAAAGGCUCUGGCUAAUACCUGGGGCUCAUGACGGUACCGUAAGAAUAAGCACCGGCUAACUACGUG
rnacentral:rRNA from 1 species